CCCUACGGGGCGCAGCAGGCGCGAAAACUCUACAAUGCAGGCAACUGCGAUAGGGGAACAUCGAGUGCUCAUCAUAUUGGUGGGCUGUCCCACCGUCUAAAAAACGGUGGUUAGCAAGGGCCGGGCAAGACCGGUGCCAGCCGCCGCGGUAAUACCGGCGGCUCGAGUGGUGGCCGAUAUUAUUGAGUCUAAAGGGUCCGUAGCCGGCUUUGCAAGUCUUUUGGGAAAUCCAGCGGCUUAACCGUUGGGCGUCCGGGAGAUACUACAUUGCUUGGGACUGGGAGAGGUAAGAGGUACUCAGGGGGUAGGAGUGAAAUCCUGUAAUCCA
rnacentral:rRNA from 1 species